CACACACAGUUGAUACAUGCACACACACAAUUCACACACAUACACACACUUGAUACACCCCAAUUCACACAGACAUGCACACACUUGAUACACACACUUUCACACAUCCCCACACACAUGCACACACUUGAUACACACAUUCACAUUCUCAGACAUGCACACACAUGCACACACUUGAUACACACACUCACACAUUCUCACAGACAUGCACACACAUGCACGCACUUGAUACACACAUUCACACGUCCCCACACACAUGCACACACUUGAUACACAUUCACACACACAUGCACACACUUGAUACAUACAUUCAUACAUUCUCACACACGCACACACUGGAUACAUACCCAUGCACAUUCAUACACAUGUACACAUGCACACACUUGAUGCACACACACCUAUGCAUAUUCACACACUCACACAUAUACAUGCACACACAACACACACACCCAUGCACAUUCACACACACAGUACACACCUCAUACACAUGCACAUGACAUACAUUCACACACUCAGGCAUACACACAUACUCUUUCACACUUCUCAACACAAAACAUACCCAUUGACACACACUCUUGCACCCACACUCAGGCACACACACAUUCAUUCCCACCCAUCUACACACACGCGCUCAUACACUUCCUGCACCGAGCAGCGCUCACCCCCUGGGAACAGAGCAGGUUUGGGGUGGAGGUGGGCUGCUGUCCUGAUU
rnacentral:lncRNA from 1 species